CGUGUAGGCGGAGAUGCAAGUUGGGAGUGAAAUCCCGGGGCUCAACCCCGGAACUGCUUUCAAAACUGUAUCCCUUGAGUAUCGGAGAGGCAAGCGGAAUUCCUAGUGUAGCGGUGAAAUGCGUAGAUAUUAGGAGGAACACCAGUGGCGAAGGCGGCUUGCUGGACGACAACUGACGCUGAGGCGCGAAAGCGUGGGGAGCAAACA
rnacentral:rRNA from 1 species